CCUACGGGAGGCAGCAGCAAGGAAUUUUCGUCAAUGGGCGCAAGCCUGAACGAGCAACGCCGCGUGGAGGGUGACGGCUUUCGGGUUGUAAACUCCUUUUGGGGGGGACGAUAAUGACGGUACCCCUUGAAUAAGCCCCGGCUAACUCUGUGCCAGCAGCCGCGGUAAUACAGAGGGGGCAGGCGUUGUCCGGAAUUACUGGGCGUACAGCGCACGCAGGUGGCCUGGCAAGUGUGGUGUGAAAGCCCCGCGCUUAACGCGGGGAGGCCAGCACAGACUGCCAAGCUGGAGGGGUGCAGAGGGUAGGGGAAUUGCCGGUGUAGUGGUGAAAUGCGUAGAGAUCGGCAGGAACACCAAGGACGAAGGUACCUACCUGGGCACCACCUGACACUCAUGUGCGACCGCGUGGGGAGCGAACCGGAUUAGAUACCCGGGUAGUCCACGCCGUAAACGAUGGAUGCUCGGUGUUUGGCGGGGAAACCUGCUGGGCACCUCAGCUGACGCGGAAGCAUCCGCCGUCGGACGUACGAGCGCAGACGUAAACUACGAAAGAAGUAGACGGCGNGUAAGACGUGCGAGACGACGACGAGGGAGGAGG
rnacentral:rRNA from 1 species